AUUUGAAUGGCCUAGAAACUAAACUAAUUCUCAUUCCUUGAGGUGAUCCCUCCAGAGCAAGGUUCAGACAUGCUGGCAAGAAGCAUCAGAAUGAGGAACCGAGAGUUCUAACAACAAUCUUAAAUGCAAGUGAUUGAACAGAUGAGCAUGCAGCAUAAUGGAGCUCAUAGGAGUAGAGACAAGGUACCUAACAAUUGGGUGCUGCAACACUCAGUGUUGCAAUGCCUAAGUUCCUUCAUGGCUCCCACCUGCACUUAUCAGACAAUUGGCCAGAACAUCAUGGGGCUCCAGUCCACAGACCUUAUAAACAUCAGCAAUUGCCUCGGUAUAUUCUGCAGCUGAAUAUUGUGUGCAGUGUGGCCUCACAGCAGGUCACACUAAACUCCUUGACACUCAACUCAAUAAUGCUAUAUGCAUAGUGUCAGGAACGCUUAAAUCGACUCCAGUCAAGUGGCUCCCAGUUCUAUCGCACAUCCACCCUCCACAGGUUAGAAGAGCUGCUUAGACAUCUCACUGUCUUAAAUGCGAGGAUCCUGCUGCAUGGUGACCUGCAGAAUCCUUAUACACAGCUUCGAUGCUGAAGCUCAAUGGAGAGUCACAUGGAGCAUUUCAACCACUGAAUACAAACAGCUCAUCAUUGAUCCUGCUGAGGAACCACCAGGUUUUGAUUUAUGUCGGAAAGCCUGGUCCAGAUUGAAUUGCAUCAGCACAUUUCAUGGGAGAUGUGGACAAACCCUCUUUAAAUGGAAAAUGAGGUAAACACAUGUUUGUGCCUGGUGGCCACAGGCACAUACUAUGGAGCACAUCAUAUCUGAGUGUCCCUUUUUGUUCUUUUGCCAGGCACCAGAACAUUCACCAGCUCACUGCUGCAGCAAUGUGUUGGCUAUAAAACCUAGAUAUAAAUUUGUAGUCAUUGCUACCUACCCAAACUCUUACUUUAAUGAUGAAAGCCAACAAAGCUGAUAUAAGGGGGCUGUUGGCCCCUUACUAAAACUGUGCGUGCUUCAUUGGCCCUCUCCCCAUACCCGGAGGCUGAAGAGGAGUCAGGAUCUUGGGACUGACUUGGUCUCUUGCCAAUCAGAGAGCUCCAGACUGGGGCUAGUGAGAAGUAGCCAACACCCUAAGCCAGUCUCACUGGCCAGGCAGCUGAGCCAAUCAGGGAGCCCCAGCUCAACCUUGGCCUCCAUGUGUGCUUGGGAAGGAGACAGCGAGAGCAGCCCCAGGGGGUGAUGGAGCUGUGGCCAGAAGCCAGAUGGAGAAAAGCAGCAUGAGAGGCCAGAGGGGAGCUACCCAAAGACACAGCAACACAUCUGAGAGAGCCAGUGAGUGGGUCGAUGUCAGUAUGGCAAGCAGGAGCCCACUGUGAAGAAGAGAUGGACCUAGCAGGGCAGGGCCCAAACCAUGGAGGGGUAUGAACAACAGCACCAGAGGCAGGAGGAGCCCGCAGGGAAUGGCCUGGGGAACCAGCGACACCCUGUAAGGGAAUGAGAGAGAGUCACACAGACCCAGCAAAGGACAGUGAGUGGAGCAAUCAGGAGGGAGCUGAGCUGUGGAAGCCCAGUAACCCUCGGACCUCCCAUGCUGCCCUGAGACCAACCACACAGGGACCUGUAACUAGCACCAGCCUGGGGGAGUUCCUGGCAGCCCCUGGGGCCAGGGAGAAGGUGGUGAUUCCUGCUGGGUAACUGCAGCCAGUUCUACAGAGGCUUUUCCAGUCCAGUCCUGAGGCAAAGACCGGCAUGUAGCCUGGUCAGUGGCAGCCCCACCUUGCAUUGGCUUUUUUCUUUGUCACUUUUUCUCUCUCUCUCAAUUGACACUUGACUACAUAGGAGUGAGUAGGCCACUCCCUCAGCAAGUACUCGACCAGUGUAUUCACCUGCUUGGGAGGCGAGUCUUCAUUCAUUGAAGUCUACUGUGGAACAGCAUUAGUGACCUUUCAAACCAGGGUAUCUGUUGCAGGGGAAGAUUUUGGGCUUGCACACAAAAGAGGAAAAAAAGUUGUUUGUGUGGCAUCCAGACACUGCUGUGACAAUUUGUGUGGAACUCUAGAUGAAGCUAUAUGCUGGUGGGUGGAGCGUUAUCCUUGUCACACACUGCUUCUAGAACUAUCGAACCAAAUAGCCAAGUUUCACCACCCCACAGAAGAGACUGUUACUGUUUUAAAGUGGUUUUUGUAUGUAUAGAGUAAACAGUUUAGUAUGUAGAUAUCUUUCCAUCGGGUAUAGGAAAUAGUGUAAGGAUUGCUUUAGGAUAUUUUAAAACCUUUCAACUGCUCAGUAUAUUUUGAAACCUGCUAACAACUUUUUUCCAUUUUUAUGCUGUUCCUUACAAAGAUAAAUCUGUUUUACUUAAUUUGGUGUUUUGUGUGUGUGUCCUUUUUAACAGUUUAGUUUAAGAUAAAGCUACUACCCCAUUAGGGGUAGAUUCCCAAUAAGUAACAUAUCUGGUAACUAGGUGGGAGUACUUCACCUCACGGACAGAUUGAUAUGGGUAACAGGACAGGAGGUAAUGUGACAAGAGGGCGAGGUGAUUUGGAAGAUCCCUUGCCAUAGUCUCUAGUAUUGAGGUUUCAGUCCUGGAAUCUCACAAGCAGCUGUGAUGUUCCUCAAGAGGGAGGGUAAUUGGGUCUGCCUUAAACCGAAUCCCAGAGUGUUCUAGGGACCCCAUAGGCAAUGCUCUGCUGGUGUAGCCUAACUAGGUAGAUCAGGGGAAAGGAAGUCCCCUGGAGUUACUAGUGUCCCACUCCUUCCCACAGCUGAAGAAACAACCCCAGCCUGUUCCUCUGGGUAAUACCAUGGGUGUCGAGAGACAGGUUGCUUCUCAUCCCACCAAGAUAACUUAAGGGGAGGUUGAGUCCCAUUUUACCAUAUCCCUUCUCAUCUCCCCAUUACUCUGACUCUGAGUACAUGCUAGGAAAAGAUCUGUUGAAGAACAGAUCUUUUUACAUGGUUCUGUUUCAGAGCAAAACCACACUCUAAACUUAUUAUGAA